ACAGUGGGAGAUGAUGCGCGACACGUAGCUCUUGUCAUUUUUUAUUCUGAUUUUGGCUCUGAUAUUAUUUUUAACAUGAGAAAUGUCUCAGUUACAACUUGGUGAAACUAUUUCUGUUUGUGCUUUUAGGACAUUU